GAGUUUGAUUCUGGCUCAGGAUGAACGCUGGCGGCGUGCCUAACACAUGCAAGUUGAGCGAGAAAUCACUUAAAGAAGCUUCGGUAGACUUAAGAGAUGGAGAGCAGCGGACGGGUGAGUAACGCGUGGGAAACCUGCCCUUGACAGGAGGAUAGCCGAGAGAAAUUUCGAUUAAUACUUCAUAAAGCAGAGCAUUCGCAUGGAUGAACUGCCAAAGAAUUAUCGGUCAAGGAUGGUCCCGCGUCUGAUUAGCUGGUUGGUAAGGUAGCGGCUUACCAAGGCGACGAUCAGUAGCCGGCCUGAGAGGGUGAACGGCCACAUUGGAACUGAGACACGGUCCAGACUCCUACGGGAGGCAGCAGUGGGGAAUAUUGCACAAUGGGCGAAAGCCUGAUGCAGCAACGCCGCGUGAAGGAAGAAGGCUUUCGAGUCGUAAACUUCUGUCCAAAGGGAAGAAUAAUGACGGUACCUU
rnacentral:rRNA from 1 species